GACGACGGCGGCCGCCGCUUUGGAGGCGAGGGUGGUGAAGCCACCAGGGCAGGAUCUGGUGGUGGAGUGCCUCAAAAGCCGUUACGGCCUCCGAGCGGCUGCCCAGCCGAGCCGGGGUGGCGGCGAUCGGACGGUGCGGAGCGUCCUGAGCGUCGGAGGCGGCCUCCCCGCACCCCAGACGACGUGGAUGUCUUCUCCUGUGGAGAUGAACUUGGCUCAUCGUUAAGCUGUGAUUGGGAUGAGAGGAGGCGCGGCCCAGCGCCGCUCUGUAGUUCCUUCAAGCUCAGGACUGGGAAUUGGUAAACAGUUGCCUGGCCACCUGAUUUGGCCUCGCAUUCCAGAAACUGGCCUGGCUGUCGUAGUGAUGGCAGUGACUCCCCUGGGAAACGUGUCGGCGCCCCAGCGUCCGGAGCCUCAGACCGGCAGGGCGUGCUUCCACUUCAGGUCAACCAGAUAUACGAGGAGCUGUUUCAGAUACACCAGAAACUGCAGGUAGGAGCUCAGUAUUCAGGGAAGCCCUGUGUUCUCAGCACAGGGCGUUUGGAAGCUGACUUCAGGGGCUUCGUCUGCAUUGUUUUCUAUGACGUGCCCAGCGCAGGGGCCGGCCCGCAGCGUUUGGUGGAGGAGCUCCUGUGGGGGAAGGCGGGUGGCCGAGAGGGAAGGCUCAGCGGAGGUGUCCACACCUGCGUCCUGUGUUUAUGUUUAGUUCCCUCCCCUCCCCUCCCAUCCUUAAGGAAGAAAACACAAAAUUGGCUGGUAAAGGGUGCUUUUUGAAGUAGGUAUUUAGAUUCAUUGCAUUGUCUUCAGGAUCUCUGUGUAAGAGGCUCUCCUUUCCUAAAGGAUGUAAUUCCGGGAGUUCCCAUUGUGGCUCAGUGGCAAUGAACCCAAGUAGUACCCAUGAGGAUGUGGGUUCGAUCCCUGGCCUUGCUCGGUGGGUUAAGGAUCCGGCAUUGCUGUUGUUUAGGUCCCAGACUUGGCUUGGAUCUGGCUUGGCUGUGGCUGUGGCGUGGGCUGGUGUCUGUAGCUCGGGAUUUACCCCUAGCCUGGGAACCUCCAUGUGCCUCGGCUGCGGUCCGAAGGGAAGAAGGAGGGAAGAAAAGAGAGAGAGAGAGGAAGGAGGGAACGAAGGGUGGAAGGGAAAAGAAAAGGGAAAGGCUGUAAUUCAUGUGUUCAUCAAGCAUCCAGUGGGUGGAAGUUUGAGAAGGAAGCAAAGUGUCUAAUAGUUUUUUUUGAAAUUCUUCUGGUUGGAUGUAUGUUGUAUUUCUACACACAGAAAGUAAACAUUUUUAAAAAGCAGUAUCUCAUUUUGUCUAAAUAACUGUGAUUAUCAUUAUCAUAGCUUGUCCUAUUAUUUUGGCCUCAAAUCACUGGGAAAGUUCAGGGAGAGUCUCAGCUCUGUAACCUGACUGAGAGGUAGACAUCAAAGAGGAGGCGGGUGGGGAGGAUUCUGGGUGCGAGGAACUGGCAAUGAGAGACUUUGGGAAGGGAGUUCUGAAUUUGUCACCCUGUCUGGGGAAAGUAGAUACUGCAAGUUCAGGCAAAAGGUGCCAGAGAGAGAAACCGCGCAUGGAAAGGUGCUUGGAAAAUACUUUACAGAAGAAGAGGAAGGGUUCUGAGGACAGGUCUAUCAUCCACAGCAAACACAACCAAGACAGAACUAUUUUUCCCUUUUUUUGUUUUUAAUUAACAUUUUAAACUAAAACAUCGUUCAUUUGCAAUGUUGUGCCCAUUUCUGCUGUCAGCAAUGACCCACACAUUAUUUUAUUAUUCAUCAUGUUCUAUCCCAAGAGAUUGGAUAGAAUUCCCUGUGCUGUACAGCAGGACCUCAGUGCUUAGCCAUUCUCAGUGUCAUAGUUUGCAUCUGUCAAUCCCAAACUCUCCUCCCCCUCGGCAGCCACUAGUCAGUUCUCUAUGUCUGUGAAUCCAUUUCUGUUUUGUAGAUAGGUUCAUUUGUGCCAUAUUUUCUUUUUUUUUUUUUUUGUCUUUUUAGGGCCGC
rnacentral:lncRNA from 1 species